GUGUCGUAGUCUGUGAUUUUAUCCAGGAAAUAAUAGGAGCUGUGGUGAUGAAAUUUUCCAACACAAAAGAAAAAUACAUAGAAGCAGUACGGUAAUCAAAUACUGGCUGAAGUCUCCAAAAACUCGGUUUACCAGCAAAGAGAAAUCUAAGUAAAAAUGUUCAAACACCGGAUCCUGGAGGAGAAUCUGAAAGCUACAAAAAUUGAGAUUGAAUUGAGGUGCAGUAACAUAAACCAGUAUGUAGCUCAAAAAUUGCUACUUCAAACAGGAAGAGAAUAAAGUAUUUUGCAGCACCACAAUAAGGACCUUUCUUAGUAGAUAAAUGACAUGCAUAUGAGUUAUUUUAAUAAACAAACUUCUCACAUUA